AUGCAGUCAGUGCCAGUGCAAACCCCAGGGGUGCAGAUGCAGAGGAAUGGCAUGUCUGCCAGCAUGUCAUGUCGACUGGGAGAGAAGAACGUUGUGCAUUGGUACAGGCAGCUUCCCGGACAGCCACCAGAGAGGAUACUGUACGAGUCUGGAGGGACACCUGUUUUUGAGGACAACAAUGAUAGAGAUAGAUUUCAAGUUCGAAAUCAUCCUUCUCAGCCUGUGUAUGAGCUUGUGAUAAAUUCUUUAACUCCGAGGGAUUCUGGCACUUAUUACUGUGCAUACUGGUACUACCACAGCAUAAGUUUGGCAAAGAUAAGCCUUACAAAAAGACUCUUUGUCCUCUGA